rnacentral:rRNA from 1 species
CAGCAGCCACGGUAAUACGAAGGGUGCAAGCGUUACUCGGAAUUACUGGGCGUAAAGCGUGCGUAGGUGGUGGUUUAAGUCCGUUGUGAAAGCCCUGGGCUCAACCUGGGAAUUGCAGUGGAUACUGGGUCACUAGAGUGUGGUAGAGGAUAGUGGAAUUUCCGGUGUAGCAGUGAAAUGCGUAGAGAUCGGAAGGAACAUCUGUGGCGAAGGCGACUAUCUGGGCCAACACUGACACUGAGGCACGAAAGCGUGGGGAGCAAACAGGAUUAGAUACCCGCGUAGUCCCUGUCUCUUAUAC